rnacentral:rRNA from 1 species
UGCGUGAGUGUUAGGUUAAGUCCUGUAACGAGCGCAACCCCUAUACUUAGUUACCAGCACGUAAUGGUGGGGACUCUAGGUAAACUGCCUGCGCAAGCAGAGAGGAAGGUGGGGAUGACGUCAAAUCAGCACGGCCCUUACGUCCAGGGCCACACACGUGCUACAAUGGCCGAUACAGAGGGCAGCUACCUGGUGACAGGAUGCAAAUCUCGAAAGUCGGUCUCAGUUCGGAUCGGAGUCUGCAACUCGACUCCGUGAAGUUGGAUUCGCUAGUAAUCGCGCAUCAGCCAUGGCGCGGUGAAUACGUUCCCGGGCCUU